UGGCGGACGGGUGAGUAAUGUCUGGGAAACUGCCUGAUGGAGGGGGAUAACUACUGGAAACGGUGGCUAAUACCGCAUAACGUCGCAAGACCAAAGAGGGGGACCUUCGGGCCUCUUGCCAUCGGAUGUGCCCAGAUGGGAUUAGCUAGUAGGUGGGGUAACGGCUCACCUAGGCGACGAUCCCUAGCUGGUCUGAGAGGAUGACCAGCCACACUGGAACUGAGACACGGUCCAG
rnacentral:rRNA from 1 species